rnacentral:rRNA from 1 species
AACGCACCUUGCGCUCCUUGGUAUUCCGAGGAGCAUGCCUGUUUGAGUGUCAUUAAAUUCUCAACCUUCCCAGCUUUUACCGGCCGGAGGAGGAUUGGAUUGUGGGGGUUGCGGGCCUCGAUUUAGAGGUCGGCUCUCCUUAAACGCAUUAGCGGAACGUCUCGCGGGACCGUCACUUGGUGUGAUAAUUAUCUACGCCUCAUGACUGCGAUCGCCUCUGGUUCAGCUUCUAACCGUCCGUUCGCUCGGACAGCUUUUUGACAAUUUGACCUCAAAUCAGGUAGGACUACCCGCUGAACUUAA